rnacentral:lncRNA from 1 species
AUGCGAUAGUGUGAAGCAGCUAAUGUGUCUUCUUUCUGUUUCUCUUUGCAGACCGCACUGCCUUAGACGCCUCCUGUCCUGAAGUUACACACAAGAAGCUGGAUUAGCAGGUCCGUUUGUCCCAGGUUUGAGCUGAGUCCAGUUCGUCCUCAGUGCAGACCGCUCUUCAGACAGGUGAGUCGUCCCAGCCCCCGUCGUCCCUCGGAGCAGGCAUGGCAGACGGUCAGGAGCACUGGACAUCCAAUGGCCAGGAGAACGGCGAGAAUGGGUACUCCUCCUACAGCUCUGGCUACCGGGAGAACGGGUACCACGCUGGGGCCGUGGCGGGGAGCACAGAGGUUCUGAGCCCUUUCUCUGGGGAACAGCCUGUGGAAGUAGCCCCGGUAGAGACCCACCACCACCACAAACAUGAAGACCUGCCCCAUGACCGGGCAGGGCCAGGGGGGCACACACAGGCUAUGAACGGAACAAGUCGUCCAGGUGAACAUAGGCCGGCAGAGACAGGUGUGUGGGAGUGGAAUGAGGGCUUUCUGGCGAGUGAAUGAGCAGAGGUGGGCGAUGUAAUCAUAUCAGAUUGAACUAUAAUUGCAUUCAAAUGACAAGUCAGGAUUCAGUUAGCAGUGCACAUGUCCAGAAGCACUAACACUUGAGAGAAGACUAAAAAUAUGAACUAGAGUUUCCCGUUUCCUACAUUAGAUAAUAAUCCUAUUUACAUAUUGACUCAGUACAGAACGUUG